CCAGAAUGGCGGAUCUUGUCAUGUGACCGCUGGUUCGACUCCUGAGUGUCAGUGUCAGACAGGCUUCUCUGGACAGUUCUGUCAGAAUGACGUAUGUAGCGGUAACACGUGUGUAAAUGGAGCUUGUACACGUGUGUCAGUCACUGACUAUACCUGUCAGUGUGACGAAGGCUGGUUUGGAGAUAAUUGUGACACUAAUCCUUGUUCCUCUAAUGACUGUGUGAAUGGAGCUUGUUCUGCGGUAUCAGCUACGGAGUUUACAUGUCAGUGUAAUGAAGGCUGGUUUGGAGAUAAAUGUG